rnacentral:rRNA from 1 species
AGUGAACGCUGGCGGUAGGCCUAACACAUGCAAGUCGAACGGCAGCACAGUAAGAGCUUGCUCUUACGGGUGGCGAGUGGCGGACGGGUGAGGAAUACAUCGGAAUCUACUUUUUCGUGGGGGAUAACGUAGGGAAACUUACGCUAAUACCGCAUCCGACCUACGGGUGAAAGCAUGGGAUCUUCGGACCUUGCGCGAUUGAAUGAGCCGAUGUCGGAUUAGCUAGUUGGCGGGGUAAAGGCCCACCAAGGCGACGAUCCGUAGCUGGUCUGAGUGGAUGAUCAGCCACACUGGAACUGAGACACGGUCCAGACUCCUACGGGAGGCAGCAGUGGGGAAUAUUGGACAAUGGGCGCAAGCCUGAUCCAGCCAUACCGCGUGGGUGAAGAAGGCGUUCGGGUUGUAAAGCCCUUUUGUUGGGAAAGAAAAGCAGCAGGUUAAUACCCCGCUGUUCUGACGGUACCCAAAGAAUAAGCACCGGCUAACUUCGUG